UUUGACUUACAAGGUAUUGUAAUAAGAUUUUAAUUGUAUGCUAAAAGAAUGGAAUUUAAAAAAAAACUUUUUUAAAAAUAAAAAUUGAAUUUUUUUUAAUUUGUGCAAAAACAAUUAUUAUUAUUAAAGACAAGAAGACCCUAAGAAUUUAUGAUUUUGCAAUUAGAAUUUUUUUCAAAAAAUCUUGAUUGCGGCGAUCAAAAAAUAUUAAUAACUUUUUAAAUUUAAAUUGAUCUAUUAUUAAUAAACUAAUGAAUUAAAUACUCUAGGGAUAACAGCGUAAUAAUUUUUGAUAGAUCUUAUUGACAAAAUAGUUUGCGACCUCGAUGUUGGAUUAGGAUCCUUUUUUAAUGAAGAAGUUAAAAAAAGAAGUUUGUUCAACUUUUAAAUUCCUACAUGAUCUGAGUUU
rnacentral:rRNA from 1 species